rnacentral:rRNA from 1 species
CGGGGGGAGCAAGCGUUGUUCGGAUUUACUGGGCGUAAAGGGCGCGUAGGCGGCCUCUGCAAGUCGACUGUGAAAUCUCCGGGCUUAACCCGGAACGGUCAGCCGAUACUGCAGGGCUAGAGUGCAGAAGGGGUAACUGGAAUUCUCGGUGUAGCGGUGAAAUGCGUAGAUAUCGAGAGGAACACCUGCGGCGAAGGCGGGUUGCUGGGCUGACACUGACGCUGAGGCGCGAAAGCUAGGGGAGCGAACGGGAUUAGAUACCCCGGUAGUCCUAGCCUUAAACGAUGAAUGCUUGGUGUCUGGGGUUUUAUAGUCCCCGGGUGCCGUCGCUAACGCUUUAAGCAUUCCGCCUGGGGAGUACGGUCGCAAGACUG